GAUCACUCUGAUCUUGAAGAAGGCAUCAGAAGAUGGUACUUUGCUCUGGGAAGAUAUGCAACCUUUUUCAUUUUUUAUAAUGAGUCCUUUUGAUAUCAAAAAAGUAGAAUUAUUCUUGGUGUUUGCAUUUUUGCAGGUUUAACUAAGAGCUUGAUGUCGCGAGCAAUGUUGCUAUUUGUAGAGUGGAAUUUCUUUGUCCUUUCCCAUAUGAUUGCAUUCAGAUUGAGCUCAAGAGAUAUCCAAAUAUUUUGGUGCCAAGAAGAGGCAAUGAACAUGGGAGCAUACAACUACAUCUCCAAGGUUAAUAGACAGCAAUGAAAAGCUUAGGCAGAAGAGAGAUGGAAGACAUUAAGUAUGUUGGUCGUGGACCUUCUGCUGACUGGCUGCUACUGCACUGGUUUCUACACUUUCCAUGUCAAGAGCAAAAGCUGAGCUCAUCCGGAAAGCCAUUGGCAAUUGAACCUAUCAGUUGAAGUUUGAACAAAAAACUUCAUUUUGAAUGAAUUCAUAUACUGAAAA